rnacentral:rRNA from 1 species
GCGUUAAAGCUUAACCUAAUUACUAAUAAAUUUCUUAUAUAAUUCUGAACCCUUCCACCCUACUGAAUGAUUCCAUAAUAUAUGGAAACCACCAUGCUAGAACUAGUAACAAGAAUAAAUUCUCCAAAAUGUAAGCUUAAACCAGAACGAAACCGCACUGAUAAUUAACGAAUAUGAGCCAUCUACAACAACACAUCAAGAAAACCCUGUUUAAACAUUCGUUAAUCUUACACUAGAACACUUCCGGAAAGAUUAAAAGAUAAGAAAGGAACUCGGCAAAUUUCAACCCCGCCUGUUUACCAAAAACAUCGCCUCUUGAUAAUAAUAAGAGGUCCAGCCUGCCCAGUGACAAACUUCAACGGCCGCGGUACCCUAACCGUGCAAAGGUAGCAUAAUCACUUGUUCUCUAAAUAAGGACUUGUAUCAAUGGCAUAACGAGGGUUGCACUGUCUCCCUUAUCCAAUCAGUGAAACUGAUCUCCCUAUGAAAAAGUAGGGAUAUAACUAUAAGACGAGAAGACCCCAUGGAGCUUUAAACCAACAGCAAUUUAAUAAUAUUUCUUUAUAACUAUAAAAUUAUGCUAACGGCUUUAGGUUGGGGUGACCACGGAGUAAAACUUAACCUCCUUGUCGAAAAGAUAAUCUUAACCAAAGAACUACUAUUCUAAGAAUUAGAAAACUAACGAACCAUGACCCGAUAACGAUCAACGAACCAAGUUACCCUGGGGAUAACAGCGCAAUCUACUUCAAGAGUCCUUAUCGACAAGUAGGCUUACGACCUCGAUGUUGGAUCAGGGUAUCCUAGUGGUGCAGCCGCUACUAAAGGUUCGUUUGUUCAACGACUAAAACCCUAC